AUUGAACGCUGGCGGCAUGCCUUACACAUGCAAGUCGAACGGCAGCACGGGUGAUUUUGCUUGGUGGCUAAUGGGGGACGGGUGAGUGAUACAUGGGAGCGUGUCCGGCUGUGGGGGGUGGCCCGCCGAAAGACGGGUUAAUACAUCCUACGUAACACCGAAGAAAGAGGGGGGCGGUCGGUCGGCGCUCUUUCGAGUUGGUCUAUGGCGGUUGGGCUAGUUGGUGGGGUAAAGGCCUACCUAGGCGACGAUCAGUAGCUGGUCUGAGAGGACGACCAGCCACACUGGGACUGAGACACGGCCCAGACUCCUACGGGAGGCAGCAGUGGGGAAUUUUGGACAAUGGGCGAAAGCCUGAUGCAGCAAUGCCGCGUGUGUGAAGAAGGCCUUCGGGUUGUAAAGCACUUUUGUCCGGAAGGAAAGCAUUAGCUCUAAUACAGUCGGGGGUUGACGGUACCGGAAGAAUAAGCACCGGCUAACUACGUG
rnacentral:rRNA from 1 species